rfam:Fukomys damarensis contig130899, whole genome shotgun sequence.
AGCUUUGUGUUGUGGCAGUGUCAUAGCCAAUGAGGUUUAUCCAAGGUGUGGUUAUUGCUAACUGAAAAUUCUCAAGGAUAUCCUAGAAAAAGACAAUGAAGUCAACAAUGCCAAUAAUUCAAAAAGAAUGAAUACA